GUUGUGAGGUUAAGCGACCAAGCGUACACGGUGGAUGCCCUGGCAGUCAGAGGCGAUGAAGGACGUGCUAAUCUGCGAUAAGCGCCGGUAAGGUGAUAUGAACCGUUAUAACCGGCGAUUUCCGAAUGGGGAAACCCAGUGUGAUUCGUCACACUAUCAUUAACUGAAUCCAUAGGUUAAUGAAGCGAACCGGGGGAACUGAAACAUCUAAGUACCCCGAGGAAAAGAAAUCAACCGAGAUUCCCCCAGUAGCGGCGAGCGAACGGGGAGGAGCCCAGAGCCUGAAUCAGCAUGUGUGUUAGUGGAAGCGUCUGGAAAGGCGCGCGAUACAGGGUGACAGCCCCGUACACAAAAGCGCAUGUGCUGUGAGCUCGAUGAGUAGGGCGGGACACGUGGUAUCCUGUCUGAAUAUGGGGGGACCAUCCUCCAAGGCUAAAUACUCCUGACUGACCGAUAGUGAACCAGUACCGUGAGGGAAAGGCGAAAAGAACCCCGGCGAGGGGAGUGAAACAGAACCUGAAACCGUGUACGUACAAGCAGUGGGAGCACAGGUUUACCUGUGUGACUGCGUACCUUUUGUAUAAUGGGUCAGCGACUUAUAUUCUGUAGCAAGGUUAACCGUAUAGGGGAGCCGAAGGGAAACCGAGUCUUAAUUGGGCGUUAAGUUGCAGGGUAUAGACCCGAAACCCGGUGAUCUAGCCAUGGGCAGGUUGAAGGUUGGGUAACACUAACUGGAGGACCGAACCGACUAAUGUUGAAAAAUUAGCGGAUGACCUGUGGCUGGGGGUGAAAGGCCAAUCAAACCGGGAGAUAGCUGGUUCUCCCCGAAAGCUAUUUAGGUAGCGCCUCGUGAACUCAUCUCCGGGGGUAGAGCACUGUUUCGGCUAGGGGGCCAUCCCGGCUUACCAACCCGAUGCAAACUGCGAAUACCGGAGAAUGUUAUCACGGGAGACACACGGCGGGUGCUAACGUCCGUCGUGAAGAGGGAAACAACCCAGACCGCCAGCUAAGGUCCCAAAGUCAUGGUUAAGUGGGAAACGAUGUGGGAAGGCCCAGACAGCCAGGAUGUUGGCUUAGAAGCAGCCAUCAUUUAAAGAAAGCGUAAUAGCUCACUGGUCGAGUCGGCCUGCGCGGAAGAUGUAACGGGGCUAAACCAUGCACCGAAGCUGCGGCAGCGACGCUUAUGCGUUGUUGGGUAGGGGAGCGUUCUGUAAGCCUGCGAAGGUGGCCUGUGAGGGUUGCUGGAGGUAUCAGAAGUGCGAAUGCUGACAUAAGUAACGAUAAAGCGGGUGAAAAGCCCGCUCGCCGGAAGACCAAGGGUUCCUGUCCAACGUUAAUCGGGGCAGGGUGAGUCGACCCCUAAGGCGAGGCCGAAAGGCGUAGUCGAUGGGAAACGGGUUAAUAUUCCCGUACUUGGUGUUACUGCGAAGGGGGGACGGAGAAGGCUAUGUUGGCCGGGC
rnacentral:rRNA from 1 species